rnacentral:rRNA from 1 species
AACGAACGCUGGCGGCAUGCCUAAUACAUGCAAGUCGAACGAGAUCUUCGGAUCUAGUGGCGCACGGGUGCGUAACGCGUGGGAAUCUGCCCUUGGGUUCGGAAUAACUUCUGGAAACGGAAGCUAAUACCGGAUGAUGACGUAAGUCCAAAGAUUUAUCGCCCAAGGAUGAGCCCGCGUAGGAUUAGCUAGUUGGUGGGGUAAAGGCCCACCAAGGCGACGAUCCUUAGCUGGUCUGAGAGGAUGAUCAGCCACACUGGGACUGAGACACGGCCCAGACUCCUACGGGAGGCAGCAGUAGGGAAUAUUGGACAAUGGGGGAAACCCUGAUCCAGCAAUGCCGCGUGAGUGAUGAAGGCCUUAGAGUUGUAAAGCUCUUUUACCCGGGAUGAUAAUGACAGUACCGGGAGAAUAAGCUCCGGCUAACUCCGUGCCAGCAGCCGCCGUAA